CUUACUUGCUCCACUUGCUUCAGAGAGAGAAGCGCAGGUGUGCGGUUUAGUGAAGGAGCAAGGCUUAUGUGAAUAGAAGAAUCCAAGGUAGAGCAGGAAGAGAAAUCCAGCUAGAGAAAGAGGUGGAAGUGAAAAUAAGUAGACUCUUAUUUUAAAUUUUUAAUGGCUUCUUGGUGGCUUCAAGAUAAAAACAAUGAAUUCUUUGGAGGUGAGCACUGCAUGUAUAUUUUACCUUUGUUUCUCUGCACAGGAUAGACAAUGAGGAGCUUUGUGUUUGGGAAAAGAAUAAAAGUCAACUGUAGCAAAACGUCUCAGAAGUAGGAUUUAUAAACAGUUCUCAAAGGAUGCACAUGAAAAUGUAAUUUCUUGGGAAAGCGGCAAACAGAAAAGAAUCAAACCGCAGUUGUGUGUGGCAAGGAUAAAUAUGCAACGCAUCAUCAAUAGGAUUUGUUGGGUGAAUAAAAAAGCCUUUUAGCCAAUAAUAUGUAAGCAGAAGAAUGGGGCAGGAGUUAGAGAGAACCCUCAAGCAAUAAUGGAGGCCACUGGAGAGGCAAGACUGCCAAAGGCUAAGUUAUUGACCCAGUAUUUUUAAAACUGCCUCCGAAAAGAAGCCUGAAUGAAAGAAAAUAAUUUGUGCUAUUAGAA